rnacentral:rRNA from 1 species
UACAGAGGGGGCAAGCGUUGUUCGGAAUUACUGGGCGUAAAGGGCGCGUAGGCGGCCUUCUAAGUCGAACGUGAAAUCCCCGGGCUCAACCCGGGAACUGCGUCCGAUACUGGGAGGCUUGAAUCCGGGAGAGGGAUGUGGAAUUCCAGGUGUAGCGGUGAAAUGCGUAGAUAUCUGGAGGAACACCGGUGGCGAAGGCGGUUCUCUGGGCCUUACCUGACACUGAGGAGCGAAAGCGUGGGGAGCGAACAGG